ACAUUGGUGGUUCAGUGGUAGAAUUCUGGCCUGCCAUGCAGGAGGCCCAGGUUCUAUUCCUGGCCAAUGCA